CCUACGGGGGGCAGCAGUGAGGAAUAUUGCACAAUGGGGGGAACCCUGAUGCAGCGACGCCGCGUGAGCGAGGAAGUAUUUCGGUAUGUAAAGCUCUAUCAGCAGGGACGAAAAACGACGGUACCUGCCUACGAAGCCCCGGCUAACUACGUGCCAGCAGCCGCGGUAAUACGUAGGGGGCAAGCGUUAUCCGGAUUUACUGGGUGUAAAGGGAGCGUAGACGGCAAGGCAAGCCAGAAGUGAAAGGGCAGGGCUCAACCCUGUACAUGCUUUUGGAACUGGGGGGCUAGAGUGCAGGAGGGGGAAGUGGAAUUCCUAGUGUAGCGGUGAAAUGCGUAGAUAUUAGGAGGAACACCAGUGGCGAAGGCAGUUCACUGGACUGCAACUGACACUGAGGCUCGAAAGUGUGGGUAUCAAACAGGAUUAGAUACCCGGGUAGUC
rnacentral:rRNA from 1 species